GAUCAACGCUGGCGGCGUGCCUAAUACAUGCAAGUCGAGCGAACGGACGAGAAGCUUGCUUCUCUGAUGUUAGCGGCGGACGGGUGAGUAACACGUGGAUAACCUACCUAUAAGACUGGGAUAACUUCGGGAAACCGGAGCUAAUACCGGAUAAUAUUUUGAACCGCAUGGUUCAAAAGUGAAAGACGGUCUUGCUGUCACUUAUAGAUGGAUCCGCGCUGCAUUAGCUAGUUGGUAAGGUAACGGCUUACCAAGGCAACGAUGCAUAGCCGACCUGAGAGGGGGAUCGGCCACACUGGAACUGAGACACGGUCCAGACUCCUACGGGGGGCAGCAGUAGGGAAUCUUCCGCAAUGGGCGAAAGCCUGACGGAGCAACGCCGCGUGAGUGAUGAAGGUCUUCGGAUCGUAAAACUCUGUUAUUAGGGAAGAACAUAUGUGUAAGUAACUGUGCACAGCUUGACGGUACCUAAUCAGAAAGCCACGGCUAACUACGUG
rnacentral:rRNA from 1 species